CAUCACUACGCUAGAUGCAUAUCAAUAAGCGGAGGAAAAGAAACUAACAAGGAUUCCCUUAGUAACGGCGAGUGAAGCGGGAAGAGCUCAAAUUUGAAAUCUUCAAGGUUUUACCUUGACGAAUUGUAGUUUAAAGAAGUGUUUUCUGUUGAAGUUUUGGUAAAAGUUCUUUGGAAUAGGACAUCAUAGAGGGUGAGAAUCCCGUAUUUGACCAUUAUUUUCAGCUGUGUGAUACACUUUCAAAGAGUCGGAUUGUUUGGGAAUGCAGUCCAAAAUGGGUGGUAAAUUUCAUCUAAAGCUAAAUAUUAGCGAGAGACCGAUAGCGAACAAGUACCGUGAGGGAAAGAUGAAAAGAACUUUGAAAAGAGAGUUAAACAGUACGUGAAAUUGUCAAAAGGGAAGCGUUUGACACCAGUGUUGUUUUCUCGAAAAUCAAUUAAAAAAGGCCGGAUUUUGUGUUGUAUUGACCUUAAAAGCUUUCUUCACUCUUUUCUUGUCUUUUUUAAUGCACUUUUCGUUUAACAAGUCAACAUCAGUUUCUUUUGUUGUAAAAGGGUCAUUGGAAGGUGGCUUUCUUUUCGGAGAAAGUGUUUAUAGCCUUUGAUCUCUGCAACCGGAGAGACUGAGGUCUGCAGCGUAGACUCUUCGGGGUUAGAUACAUUUGUGCUAAGCUAUAGCUUUUUAUAGACAACUUGUUGACUAUAUUUAGUCUUGUGGCUUACUCGCUUAUGCUAUUUUACCUACGCUUAGGAUGUUGAAGAUAUGCGCGACACG
rnacentral:rRNA from 1 species